CUUCUCCCUUCAGGCACUUCUUGAUCCUUCCCACCCCACGCAGAUUCCGGAGUUCCAGUGGAUUGCCGGCUAUCCCCUGGGUUUUUACUGAAAUUUGGAGAAGAACUUUGUGAAGAAUAACUGACCUGAAGACAAAGGAGACUUCAGAGAAGGCUGGAAGACAAAGCGCAUUUUGAAAGUGGAUUCUGAUAGAAAAUCCCUGAAGGCAACCAGCCCAAAAGGUGCUCUACAGAACAGUUAUUUAUAGAGUCAAGCUCCAAGAAAUGCCCUGUAUCACAAACUUUUGUUUCCUACCUGAGAAAAGAGGUUGCCCUUCCAAAAUGAAAAUGUAACUAUAACGUUCUGAGCUUUAACUGUGGAACAGAAAAUGAUUCAUUUACAAUUAGUCCCAGCAAAUACAGUUGC